rnacentral:lncRNA from 1 species
UUAUAAUGUAUAUUUGAUUAAUAGUUUAAAGCACCUACGUUCGGUCAAUAUUUAUUCCACAACAAAUUUGAUAUCAUUUGGUUGAGUUUUAAAUUUGUUUUCUUUUUCUAAAGUUUCAAACUUAGGGAUGGUUUGACUACAAAAACUUAAAAAUUUGCCAUAUUAUGAUGGCAUCAAAUGAUGGUUCCAUUAUCAUUAUAAGGUAUACAAAGGUUUUGAGAAGGAUAGUAUGUAGCACUUAUCCAUAAUAUUGAGAAUUAAGAAUUAAGACAGAUAUUUAAUUUAGGACUCAAGACAGUGAGACCCCAAGUCUGUAUUGUUGUAUCUGUCCCAUAUAGUUGUAUGGGUUCAUUGUAUAAACAACAUCUAAUAGUAACUAGUUUAUAUACAAUAUAAUGGAAGCUAGAGUACACUAAGAUCGUCUUAUGGUGUUGAUUUAACUGACGUGUUACAGACGAUGUAGCUAAACAAACUGUGUUUUCAGAUUAGUGCAUGUUUUAAAAGACUUGAGAUGAAUGUCAGAUGAAUUUCUCACGUUAUUAGAAUUUUAUUUUAGUUGAAAAAGUUAUAUAUUUAAAGUAAUAACAACAAUGGAUAUGAUUAAAAAAAAAAAAGCAACAUUUCACGCUAGGUAUCAUAUCUUUUAUAAGUCCAAGAUUCUAAUAUUAUAGAUUUGAUUAAUAGUUUAAAGCAACUAAAUCGCUUGGUCCUAAUAUUUGAAUCCAUUUGUCUGAGUUCCACACUUAGAGGUGGUUUGCCGACAGAACUUAAGAAUUGCCUGAAUACGAUGGCUUAAAAUAAUUGCUUCCUAUCAUUAAAAGAUUAUACACCGGUUUUGAGAAGGAUGGUACACUAGCAAGCACCAAUCAGUUAGCACCUAUCCAUAAAGACUGGCAUAGGUCGGGACUCGAGAGUUGUUAAUAUCCGAACAGAUCUUAUGGUUUUGAUUUAGCUCACGUUUUACUACACGAGCUUAGGUAUAUAUAUCCUUUGGUAAAGGCAUCUUCCACCGACGGGAAUAGAGGCCUGCUUUUGAAAUUGGACCUACAAAC